rnacentral:rRNA from 1 species
AACGAACGCUGGCGGCAUGCCUAACACAUGCAAGUCGAACGAGACCUUCGGGUCUAGUGGCGCACGGGUGCGUAACGCGUGGGAACCUGCCCUUAGGUUCGGAAUAACUCCCCGAAAGGGGUGCUAAUACCGGAUAAUGUCUUCGGACCAAAGAUUUAUCGCCUUUGGAUGGGCCCGCGUUGGAUUAGCUAGUUGGUAGGGUAAAAGCAUACCAAGGCGACGAUCCAUAGCUGGUCUGAGAGGAUGAUCAGCCACACUGGGACUAAGACACGGCCCAGACUCCUACGGAAGGCAGCAGUGGGGAAUAUAGGACAAUGGGCGAAGGCCUGAUCCAGCAAUGCCGGGUGAGUGAUGAAGGCCUUAGGGUUGUAAAGCUCUUUUACCCGGGAUGAUAAUGACAGUACCGGGAGAAUAAGCUCCGGCUAACUCCGUG